CCGACCAGGGAUCAGCGGA
rnacentral:siRNA from 1 species